CUACGGGAGGCAGCAGUGGGGAAUCUUGGACAAUGGGCGCAAGCCUGAUCCAGCCAUGCCGCGUGAGUGAAGAAGGCCCUAGGGUUGUAAAGCUCUUUCGGCGGGGACGAUAAUGACGGUACCCGCAGAAGAAGCCCCGGCUAACUCCGUGCUAGCAGCCGCGGUAAUACGGAGGGGGCUAGCGUUGUUCGGAAUUACUGGGCGUAAAGCGCACGUAGGCGGGUCGUUAAGUCGGGGGUGAAAUCCUGGGGCUCAACCUCAGAACUGCCUUCGAUACUGGCGACCUUGAGUACGGGAGAGGUGAGUGGAAUUCCCAGUGUAGAGGUGAAAUUCGUAGAUAUUGGGAAGAACACCAGUGGCGAAGGCGGCUUACUGGUCCGGAACUGACGCUGAGGUGCGAAAGCGUGGGGAUCAAACAGGAUUAGAAACCCUGGUAGUCC
rnacentral:rRNA from 1 species